CCUACGUGGGGCAGCAGUGAGGAAUAUUGGUCAAUGGGCGAGAGCCUGAACCAGCCAAGUCGCGUGAAGGAUGAAGGAUCUAUGGUUUGUAAACUUCUUUUAUAUGGGAGUAACGUGAGGAACGUGUUCCUUUUUGUAUGUACCAUAUGAAUAAGCAUCGGCUAACUCCGUGCCAGCCGCCGGGGUAAUACGGAGGAUGCGAGAGUUAUCCGGAUUUAUUGGGUUUAAAGGGUGCGUAGGUGGUUAAUUAAGUCAGCGGUGAAAGUUUGUGGCUCAACCAUAAAAUUGCCGUUGAAACUGGUUGACUGGAGGAGAUUGGAGGUAGGCGGAAUGCGUGGUGUAGCGAUGAAAUGCAUAGAUAUCACGCAGAACUCGGAUUGCGAAGGAAGAUUACGAAGCUAUAACUGACACGGAAGCACGAAGGCGUGGGGAUCAAACAGGAUUAGAUACCCGUGUAGUC
rnacentral:rRNA from 1 species